UAAAGGUAAUUGUCUAUUAUACCCUUCGUUUCGUUUAGUAGAGAUCAGAAAAUCAAAUCUCUUUUUCUCACCAUAAAACCAAACCCUCAUACGUUUCCCUCUAUUCUCCGAUGGUUCUUCCCAGACUGAAACCUGACCACCAUUUGUCUCUGUACGAUAUUGUCUCCCUAAACCUUCUCCUCCUGAUGCAGUCUGCAACGUGUUUUGAACAAGAAAUCACGAUGUUCAGCCAAGUAAAAGAAAGUGCUUUGUAGACGGCCUUCUCUGGCGAACGUGAUUUUUCUCCGGCAAAUAUCUGGUUCGUGUUUAGAGUUUUUCCGGUUGCUGUGUAUCUUGAUGGUACCUUCGUAAGAGAAGAGAUGGAGGGAGAUAAAGUGAACCUAUAUAAGUAAACCUUAGUUAUUUAUUGGGCCAUUGAGUUUUCCUGGGUUUUUUAAUUUUUGGUGGUAUGACAGGAAAGAGAAGGAGAUGGAGACGAAACGGAGAUAAACUAAGUAGGGUCCAUUUUUUUUAUAAAACAGGGGCAUAAUUGUCAAUUUACAUAAGAAAUCUGUGGAAAUAUUAAAAAAGUGUACGUGGAUAUAUCAGCUCCCAUAGAAAAUGGGUGGACUAAAAUGUAGAUAAUGAAUAUAUUUAGGUGGUGGGGAGAUGGAUAACAAAUUAAUGGUCACAAAAAGAGCAUCCCAAAUUUAGUAAAUACGAUUGGUUUUCGAUCAUCACCUCAAUCUCAAUCUCACUAUCUGCUCUCUUUCUUUUUUCCAUUCCUCUUUUUUUUUCUUCAAUUCCUUCAUGUCUACACUGCCCUCUCUCUUAUUAGCAAAACUUCGAUACCAAUUAAAGACAGGGAACCAAGAUACUACUAUGUCACUUGCCCAAUUCUCCUCGCUUUCUUCUUUAACCUUUCUACUACCGCCUACGCCCACCACUCGAGUCCUUCCGAUCCAUUGUUUCCAUACUCGACCAUCCACCUCCACCAGUGCAACAACCUUAAGCAACAUAGUAAAUUAUGGUGUCAUUGCUUGUCUUCGCGCCAAAAGCGCGGAUGUGGCAUUUGAAGCUGCAAAGGCUGCAAUUAUGGGUGGAAUAUCGGUUCUGGAGAUUGUGGUUUCUACCCCAGGUGUUUUUGAGGUUUUACAUCAACUGGUGCAAGAUUUUCCAACCAUAACUCUAGGGAUUGGCACUGUUUUAAAUAUUGAGGAUGCUGAAAAUGCAAAAAAAGCUGGUGCAAAAUUCAUCAUGAGUCCUGCAAUUGUGAAGGGUAUUCUGGAUGAAGAUAAUGAUGAUUUGCUAUAUAUACCUGGUGUAAUGACCCCAACAGAAAUACUUUCAUCAUAUAAUGCUGGUGCCAAAAUGGUGAAGGUAUACCCUGUUUCUGUACUUGGUGGUUUUGGAUACAUAGCAACUUUGAAGAAGCCUUUUCCUCAUAUUCCUUUAAUUGCAUCUCAAGGAAUAACAACUGAUUUAGUUGGUGAAUAUAUUGGUGAGGGAGCAUCAGCUGUUGUUCUAUCUGAUGCUAUUUUUGAGAAAGAGGCAAUGACUCAAAGAAACUUCACUGCAAUUUAUCAACUUGCAAAACUUGCAGCUUCACAAGGCAAUGAAGCUGUAGAAAGGAAACAUGAGAGCAUACAAAAAAUGCAAGAGACUAGACAUUACAAUUUCGAAACUAAAAGUGCCCCUGAAUAAACAUUACAAAACUAUCGAAACUAUUCAUUGACCUUCGACACCUCACAACUAAUUUCGACAUCAACAUUCUCCACCUUUGUGAGAAGUGUCAAAAUCAGGUCAUCAGCAUCUGAAUAGCUUGGUGCAUCGGUCUCCGAAUCUCAAAGUACCAAUUCAUCACAUUCUUCAGCCUAACUUUAUCUCCAUCAUUGUUUUUCUUACAACUAUUCAUACGAACAAGUAAAUUCGUAUAAUCAGUAGUUGUAUAUCUUUCAACGUCGCAAGCUUGGAAUAAAAACUUUGUAUUCUUUCCCUUUUUACUUUUUCCAACGAAAACAAUUCCUAGAGGCUUCAAACAUAUUUCCCCAUCAACACACUUCUUCAAAUUAGCUUGGCUUUUUAACAAUGACUGAUGCACUGUUAUUUCCUUUCCCAUUGCUAAAGCCAAUUCAACAUCAGUUAAGGCUAAGCAGUCAUAGUAGUUGUCUAUGAAGAGUUUGAUGUGUGCAAGACCCAGCGGAUAUUCAUCUUUACUUGUACCUUGAAGCUUCAUAGCAUCAAUGCCUUUGAGAAUUCUUGCCAGUUGAAUUAGAUCAUUCAGAUUCAUAAGAGGGAAAUUAGCUACUGAAAAGUCAAACGUGGUGUUGUCAACUCUGACCACAUGAUAACAAAAAUUUUGUAGAACAUCCUCAAAGAAAACAUCUUUAGAUAUGUUAAGUACUCGGACAAUCUUCACAAGAGACCAGAAUUCUUCUAGUUCCUUUCCAAGUACAACAAGAAAUCUAAGCUUCAGAUGCUUGAAUUCCUCUUUGUUUUCAAACUUGUCAACAAUCUGAUGCUGAGCAUUGAUAAACAUCAUUUCAUUGAUCGAAAAAUCCAGCUGAUUCGUAUAAGAGUUCUCAAUUGCAUAACUCUUCUUUGGUUUCUUUUCGAAAUCAUGCAUUUUUCCAUAUACCUUAUGUCUGUGCGUCAUUUGUAGAAGUUUAAAAAAACACGCUUAAAAAAAUCUCUCAUCGUUAUUUCUUCUUGUGUCGUUCUUCUUCACCAAAGCAAGCUUCCUCUCUUGUUGCUCCACUUCCACGUCACUCCUGACAAACGACCACCGCCGACGACUACUAUUCAGUUGUCGAUGACUAGUAGUCAGCUGUUGACGACUGCUGCCCCGUUGCCUCAUGUUAGUUUGUUCCAUUUUCUCGGUGUUAAAUUUAGAUCAUAUUGUGAUUGUUACUGAAAUUGGUUAAGUCUUUUAUGAAAUCGACUCAUUUUUAGUAAAAUCGAUUCACACUCUACUGGAAUUGGCUCUCUUCUUUCCGUAUACAUCACAAGAACCAUGUUUUCAUAUCACAGUUCCAUAGAUGUAGCUAGAAUUUUGGUUGAAAUUAUGGCCGAGUUCAAAUAAAGUUUAUUCCUUUACACAUUGCUCGUUUUGAUUUCUUCUUAGUUUGCAUAUCUUUUUAGCGGAUAAAAUAUUAGGUUUAAAAUAUGAUUUCAUGUCAGACAUAUUGGUGAUUAGAUUGUUUGGUGGUAGGCUUUUAAUAACAUAAAAUAACAAAAGGAUAUGCUUCGAUCUUAAUGUUGGAUACACACUCCCUCUUUGGGCCUUAGGGCUUCGAUAGCCCAUAGAUACUUACUCAAAUAAAAGCCCAAAAGAGAAAUCUUUAUAGUGUAUGUGGACUAUAAAUAUAAGCCAACGCAAAGAACAGAGAGUAUCGUCUUAUGCACUUGAUAAAGUAUACGAUCUCCUGUGCGAACAAACUAGCCCUAGGUUAAAAUUGGACAACGAGAUUUCAUCAAAUUCAGAAAGUUUGUCAGUGGAACUUUUUAAUUCUUCAUGGGAAAGAGAAAGGAGCGUAGACUGGCGGCGAAGACUGCAGUUAAUAGAAGAGUAAAACUCGAUCUUAUGGCGGAACCCUCUGGUAAUCGUGUCGAGAUUUUGGUGAUCAUUGUAUUGGUUGAUGUUUACUUUAAGCAAGCCAUGUUUGGUCUCCCAAGAUAUUCCUUUCAGAAUAGAACCAGUUCCCUCGGCAAUCAUGGCGCUUCAUUUAAUCAAUCUCUCGAACCUCGACGACCAAACUAGUCUCCUCAGCAACGCUCUCGAUUCCUUUUUUUAAUCUAUAUUAAUUACUUUGUAAAGUGUAAUUGCGUAAUUAUUCUCAUUAGUUGAUUUCAGUAUCGUAAAGUAAAACAACUCCAAUUUUGGAUUACCAA